rnacentral:rRNA from 1 species
CCUACGGGAGGCAGCAGUAAGGAAUAUUGGUCAAUGGACGCAGUCUUGAACCAGCCAUGCCGCGUGGAGGAUGAAGGUCCUCUGGCAUUGUAAACUUCUUUUAUAUGGGACGAAAAAAGGGUUUUCUAACUCGUCUGACGGUACCAUAUGAAUAAGCACCGGCUAACUCCGUGCCAGCAGCCGCGGUAAUACGGAGGGUGCAAGCGUUAUCCGGAUUCACUGGGUUUAAAGGGGUGCGUAGGUGGAUUGCCAAGUCCGUGGUGAAAUCUCCGGGCUUAACUCGGAAACUGCCGUGGAUACUGGUAAUCUUGAAUACCGUGGAGGUCAGCGGAAUAUGUCAUGUAGCGGUGAAAUGCUUAGAUAUGACAUAGAACACCAAUUGCGAAGGCAGCUGGCUACACAUAUAUUGACACUGAGGCACGAAAGCGUGGGGAUCAAACAGGAUUAGAUACCCUGGGUAGUCCACGCCCUAAACUAUGGAUACUCGACACCAGCGAUACACAGUUGGUGUCUGAGCGAAAGCAUUAAGUAUCCCACCUGGGAAGUACGACCGCAGGUUGAAACUCAAAGGAAUUGACGG